AAGUUAUUAAGAAAGGUGGAGGGAAUAGACCCUGUGAAACCUUAGCAACCCUUUAACUAUUAAAGAAGGUGCUAAAUUCUAUCCUGAGAUUCAGGAAAAGAUAACUC
rnacentral:ncRNA from 2 species